rnacentral:rRNA from 1 species
AUAUCAAUAAGCGGAGGAAAAGAAACUAACAAGGAUUCCCUCAGUAACGGCGAGUGAAGCGGGAAGAGCUCAAAUUUAAAAUCUGGCUUUAUGCCCGAGUUGUAUUCUAUAGAAGUGUUUUCCUUUGAGUACCGAGAUACAAGUCUCCUGGAAAGAAGCAUCAUAGAGGGUGAGAAUCCCGUCCAUGAUCUCGAGUGGCUUAAUUUUGUGAUACACUUUCUACGAGUCAGGUUGUUUGGGAAUGCAGCCUAAAAUGGGUGGUAAAUUUCAUCUAAAGCUAAAUAUUGGCGAGAGACCGAUAGCGAACAAGUACCGUGAGGGAAAGAUGAAAAGAACUUUGAAAAGAGAGUUAAACAGUACGUGAAAUUGUUGAAAGGGAAACGUUUGAAACCAGUCAGUUGACUUGUAAUCAAUCUAUCUCGCGAUGGAUGCACUUGCAAGUUUUACUCGUCAAUGUCAGUUUGAUGGGUUGGAAAAAGAUGAUUGAAAUGUGGCUAUCUUCGGGUAGUGUUAUAGUCAAUCAUGAAAUACAACCUGUUGGACUGAGGAAUGCAGUUGAAAUGUCGGCUUCGGCUUCUAAUCAACUUAGGUCAUUGACUUAAUGGUUUUAAAUGA